AGAGUUUGAUCAUGGCUCAGAACGAACGCUGGCGGCAGGCCUAACACAUGCAAGUCGAGCGCUACCUUCGGGUGGAGCGGCGGACGGGUUAGUAACGCGUGGGAACAUACCCUUUUCUACGGAAUAGCCUCGGGAAACUGAGAGUAAUACCGUAUAAGCCCUUCGGGGGAAAGAUUUAUCGGGAAAGGAUUGGCCCGCGUUAGAUUAGAUAGUUGGUGGGGUAAUGGCCUACCAAGUCUACGAUCUAUAGCUGGUUUUAGAGGAUGAUCAGCAACACUGGGACUGAGACACGGCCCAGACUCCUACGGGAGGCAGCAGUGGGGAAUCUUAGACAAUGGGCGAAAGCCUGAUCUAGCCAUGCCGCGUGAGUGAUGAAGGUCUUAGGAUCGUAAAGCUCUUUCGCUAGGGAUGAUAAUGACAGUACC
rnacentral:rRNA from 1 species